UCUCUCUCUUCCUCUUCACUCUCUCUCCAUAGGUUUACACAAAAAAGAGCUUCUCUCUCUCUCUUCCAACAGAGAAGAAUCUUACACAAAAAAGGGCUUUUCUCCCUCUCUCUCUAUCUCUCUUUUAACAGAGAAAAAGUUAUGUUCCUGCGCCAUUUCCAACAGAGAAGAAGCUCUCCUCCUUGGUUUUCUUAUCUUCCUCUUCCCUGUGCCAAGGCUCUCCUCCCUGGCGGAGGGAUGGCGGUUAUUGCGACUUGGCUGAGGCCUCUGGUUUGAUUUUUGAAAGGGUUUAUGUUCUAUCUACAUCGGGAAUUUUCUCUAAAACAGUUUUUCAGAGUUGAUUUGGCAGUCACAAUUGGUGCUUUCUAUUACCCGAGAUUGUGGUUCAAUUUUAGCAGGGCUAAGGACAAAACAUAUCGUAAUCUUCGGACUCUAAGAAGGCAGUAGAUGUGCUACAUUGUUAAGUUCAUAUUUUUAAAUUCAAUUUCAAACAUUUUUAUAUGCAUGUAAGUUCUUAUUUGUAACUUCAUUUGGAACACUAUUGUCACUCAUAUUGCAUUUUAUGUCUCUAACAGAGAGGACAAAUUCAUAUGGAAGUACUUCAAAGGAGGGGCCUAUGUUGCUGCAGGGAUACAAUUUUUAUGUCUCAGACAUUUUAUGUGUAUAUAAAAGUACUAGCAGAGAGAUACAUCUCUCUCUCUCUCUCUCUCUCUCUCUCUCUAUAUAUAUAUAUAUAUAUAUAUCUCAUUUUACAUAACAAUCAUUGUGUUAUUACGGCCUUUGUUCUGAUAAAUGGAAGAACCAAAUGGUUUUUGAUAAAUUAGGGGAUUAAUGAAUCAUAAUUGUAUUACUCAUUGCAGUGGAACUGAAAUAAUAUUUCAUACUUGGCAACUUAGGGGAUUAAUAUUGUAUUUUAUGAGCAUUUCCAUGAGGUCUGAAAAAUUAUAAGUUUUUUUUCAGGGGCUCUCUAGUUGUUUCUUUGACUUGUACCAAGGCUAAUUGGGCAUUAAAGUGGGGUUUUUACUUUAAUAUUUUUCAAUUCCUUGUGUGAGAUGCCCAUAAUUACCUUAACGUUUUUAUUUUUCUAGCUGCCUAUGGUAACAUGGAGCUCUCUCUCUCUCUCUCUUUCUCUCUCUCUCUCUCGCAAUUUUUUUCCAUCUGUCUAAUCUUGGUUGAUAAUUUUCACAAGGCAGAAUACAUUAACAUAUAACCAUGAAACAUUCUAUUUGACUGUUGAAUGAUGUGGGUUAUUGAAUAGGUUCAAAAGUUGGUGGAGAUGGGGUUUCCAGAGAGCCAGGUGUGAACUGCAUUAGAAAACUGUGGAGGAGAUGAAAACUUGGCUUUGGAAAAGCUUUGCUGAAAUGGAAAGCUUUAAAUGUAUUAUGGGAACUUGUGAAAACUUGCUCAAACUCUCAUAUAUGAAGAUGUUUUAAAUGUUAUUAGUUGUUUUGAAAUUAUGUAGAAUGGCUUUUGUUUAUCCCCACCUGGAUUGCAACUCCACCUCAGAAUUGGGUGGAAUAUGAUAAGAUACUCUAAAUGUUAUUGGUUAUUUUCAAUGUAUUAGAGAGAUUGCUAUUGAUGUGCAAA